rnacentral:rRNA from 1 species
AGUGAACGCUGGCGGUAGGCCUAACACAUGCAAGUCGAACGGCAGCACAGUAAGAGCUUGCUCUUACGGGUGGCGAGUGGCGGACGGGUGAGGAAUACAUCGGAAUCUACUUUUUCGUGGGGGAUAACGUAGGGAAACUUACGCUAAUACCGCAUACGACCUACGGGUGAAAGCAGGGGAUCUUCGGACCUUGCGCGAUUGUAUGAGCCGCUUUCGGAUUAGCUAGUUGGCGGGGUAAAGGCACACCAAGGCGACGAUCCGUAGCUGGUCUGAGCGGAUGGUCAGACACACUGGAACUGAGACACGGCACAGACUACAAUGGUACGGAACGGUGGAGAAUGUUGGAUUAGGGGCUGGAGGAUAGUCCAGCCAUACCGAGUCGGUUGAGAAGGCCCUGUGGUUGUGAAGCUCAUUUGUUGGGAAACAAAAGCAGCAGGUUUAAACCGCGCUGUUCUGACGGUACCCAAAGAAUAAGCACCGGCUAACUUCGUG